GCUUAACACAUGCAAGUCGAGGGGCAUCAGGAAGAAAGCUUGCUUUCUUUGCUGGCGACCGGCGCACGGGUGAGUAACACGUAUCCAACCUGCCCUUUACUCGGGGAUAGCCUUUCGAAAGAAAGAUUAAUACCCGAUAGCAUAAUGAUUCCGCAUGGUUUCAUUAUUAAAGGAUUCCGGUAAAGGAUGGGGAUGCGUUCCAUUAGGUUGUUGGUGAGGUAACGGCUCACCAAGCCUUCGAUGGAUAGGGGUUCUGAGAGGAAGGUCCCCCACAUUGGAACUGAGACACGGUCCAAACUCCUACGGGAGGCAGCAGUGAGGAAUAUUGGUCAAUGGGCGCUAGCCUGAACCAGCCAAGUAGCGUGAAGGAUGAAGGCUCUAUGGGUCGUAAACUUCUUUUAUAUAAGAAUAAAGUGCAGUAUGUAUACUGUUUUGUAUGUAUUAUAUGAAUAAGGAUCGGCUAACUCCGUGCCAGCAGCCGCGGUAAUACGGAGGAUCCGAGCGUUAUCCGGAUUUAUUGGGUUUAAAGGGAGCGUAGGUGGACUGGUAAGUCAGUUGUGAAAGUUUGCGGCUCAACCGUAAAAUUGCAGUUGAUACUGUCAGUCUUGAGUACAGUAGAGGUGGGCGGAAUUCGUGGUGUAGCGGUGAAAUGCUUAGAUAUCACGAAGAACUCCGAUUGCGAAGGCAGCUCACUGGACUGCAACUGACACUGAUGCUCGAAAGUGUGGGUAUCAAACAGGAUUAGAUACCCUGGUAGUCCACACAGUAAACGAUGAAUACUCGCUGUUUGCGAUAUACAGUAAGCGGCCAAGCGAAAGCAUUAAGUAUUCCACCUGGGGAGUACGCCGGCAACGGUGAAACUCAAAGGAAUUGACGGGGGCCCGCACAAGCGGAGGAACAUGUGGUUUAAUUCGAUGAUACGCGAGGAACCUUACCCGGGCUUAAAUUGCAGUGGAAUGAUGUGGAAACAUGUCAGUGAGCAAUCACCGCUGUGAAGGUGCUGCAUGGUUGUCGUCAGCUCGUGCCGUGAGGUGUCGGCUUAAGUGCCAUAACGAGCGCAACCCUUAUCUUUAGUUACUAACAGGUUAUGCUGAGGACUCUAGAGAGACUGCCGUCGUAAGAUGUGAGGAAGGUGGGGAUGACGUCAAAUCAGCACGGCCCUUACGUCCGGGGCUACACACGUGUUACAAUGGGGGGUACAGAAGGCAGCUAGCGGGUGACCGUAUGCUAAUCCCAAAAUCCUCUCUCAGUUCGGAUCGAAGUCUGCAACCCGACUUCGUGAAGCUGGAUUCGCUAGUAAUCGCGCAUCAGCCACGGCGCGGUGAAUACGUUCCCGGGCCUUGUACACACCGCCCGUCAAGCCAUGGGAGCCGGGGGUACCUGAAGUACGUAACCGCAAGGAUCGUCCUAGGGUAAAACUGGUGACUGGGGCUAAGUCGUA
rnacentral:rRNA from 1 species